ensembl:lncRNA
CGUUUAUGUAACCCGCUGAUGGUGAGUCUUUGUCAAGGUCAAGGUCAUGAUUACGUUCAGCUGCUUGUUAUGCUGCCUCUGAGAAAUUGAAUGUUUCUUCUUUUGGAGGAGCAUGUGCAGCUUUGGGUGACACUGCAAAAGAUGCAACAUCCUUUAUCCUUAACUCAGCCACAGGCUGCAACUCCACAACCAGUGGUCAGAAGUGAUUCAACAGGAAUCCAGUGCUGGAGAUUCAUUAGUAGCAUUUAUAUGCUAUGAAAGCGUGCUAAGUGAAAAUGCAUUGAUCUCUUUUGCCACCAGUCUUGCCACCAAGAACU